AACGAACGCUGGCGGCAGGCUUAACACAUGCAAGUCGAACGCCCCGCAAGGGGAGUGGCAGACGGGUGAGUAACGCGUGGGAAUCUACCCAGAUCUACGGAACAACAGAGGGAAACUUCUGCUAAUACCGUAUACGCCCUACGGGGGAAAGAUUUAUCGGAUUUGGAUGAGCCCGCGUAAGAUUAGCUAGUUGGUGGGGUAAUGGCCUACCAAGGCGACGAUCUUUAGCUGGUCUGAGAGGAUGAUCAGCCACACUGGGACUGAGACACGGCCCAGACUCCUACGGGAGGCAGCAGUGGGGAAUAUUGGACAAUGGGCGCAAGCCUGAUCCAGCCAUGCCGCGUGAGUGAUGAAGGCCUUAGGGUUGUAAAGCUCUUUCACCGAUGAAGAUAAUGACGGUAGUCGGAGAAGAAGCCCCGGCUAACUUCGUGCCAGCCGCCGCAGUAA
rnacentral:rRNA from 1 species